GAAUAUUUUCGACUAUUAUCGAGCCGAUCCACACAUUUGUCACGACAUCGUUUGAAUCCUGAUUCACGUAUCAUCAUGGAGAAACGUUGCUGCGCUGCGAUCUUGAUUCUCGUUUUUGGGAUCAUCCAGGUCUAUUCUCAACUUCAAAGUGACAAUCUUGUUAACCACAAUAGAGACUACGCGAUGUCGAUUAUAGAAAAGGAAUUGGACUACCUCAACGACCAAUUUCCAACAUCCGAGCCGCAGUCGUAUCUGACUCCAGAAGAAGAAUUUCAGCAUAAAAGUCUCUUACAACUCCAACAAUAUUUCAACAACAAAAUCUUCGCUGGUGCCUCCAAGAUAGAAGCGUUGAAAUCCACUAUAGAAAAGUACUCUGAUCUAGUUGCCAACGUUGUUGAACAUGUAAAGUCCAAUCAGUGAAGUCAAUUGGCUAAAUGUACUUGAUGCAUUGACAUCUUCCAUCCGCUUAAUAAAUCUUGUAGAGCGUUAAAGUCA
rnacentral:misc_RNA from 1 species